rnacentral:rRNA from 1 species
UACAGAGGGUGCGAGCGUUAAUCGGAAUUACUGGGCGUAAAGCGCGCGUAGGCGGCUUUGCAAGUCGGGUGUGAAAUCCCCAGGCUUAACCUGGGAACUGCAUUCGAGACUGCAUUGCUAGAGUAUGGGAGAGGAAAGUGGAAUUUCCGGUGUAGCGGUGAAAUGCGUAGAUAUCGGAAGGAAGACCAGUGGCGAAGGCGGGUCUCUGGACAGUUCCUGACGCUGAGGCACGAAGGCCAGGGGAGCAAACGGG